UCGAACGGUAACAGGAAGAAGCUUGCUUCUUUGCUGACGAGUGGCGGACGGGUGAGUAAUGUCUGGGAAACUGCCUGAUGGAGGGGGAUAACUACUGGAAACGGUAGCUAAUACCGCAUAACGUCGCAAGACCAAAGAGGGGGACCUUCGGGCCUCUUGCCAUCGGAUGUGCCCAGAUGGGAUUAGCUAGUAGGUGGGGUAACGGCUCACCUAGGCGACGAUCCCUAGCUGGUCUGAGAGGAUGACCAGCCACACUGGAACUGAGACACGGUCCAGACUCCUACGGGAGGCAGCAGUGGGGAAUAUUGCACAAUGGGCGCAAGCCUGAUGCAGCCAUGCCGCGUGUAUGAAGAAGGCCUUCGGGUUGUAAAGUACUUUCAGCGGGGAGGAAGGGAGUAAAGUUAAUACCUUUACUCAUUGACGUUACCCGCAGAAGAAGCACCGGCUAACUCCGUGCCAGCAGCCGCGGUAAUACGGAGGGUGCAAGCGUUAAUCGGAAUUACUGGGCGUAAAGCGCACGCAGGCGGUUUGUUAAGUCAGAUGUGAAAUCCCCGGGCUCAACCUGGGAACUGCAUCUGAUACUGGCAAGCUUGAGUCUCGUAGAGGGGGGUAGAAUUCCAGGUGUAGCGGUGAAAUGCGUAGAGAUCUGGAGGAAUACCGGUGGCGAAGGCGGCCCCCUGGACGAAGACUGACGCUCAGGUGCGAAAGCGUGAGGAGCAAACAGGAUUAGAUACCCUGGUAGUCCACGCCGUAAACGAUGUCGACUUG
rnacentral:rRNA from 1 species